CCUCUGCCGGUCAAAACUUUAAUUUCUUUAGGUUUUUCUCUAAUCAGCAAAAUGUGGAUUUCAACACCUAAAACCUAGAUCACUAUCCAGAAACAAUUUAAAUUAAAGUGGCGUAAUAACUAAUUCAGUUUUGUUCAGUUCUCUGCAAUGAGUGUGCUAUCCUGUUAGAUACAAUAAUGUCAGCAAGAUGGUUCGUUUGUAUUUUACUUCAGGUUUGCUUUCCGGCGUCUGAACUUGUUGCUGCUUCUCCCGUGUCAAUUCGAAGGCAAUGACUGAAUGAAUAAAUUUCUGUAACGUUGGUUGUGAUUGGUGACGUGCAUUGCGCUCACGUAGCCUGUAAGUAGCGGGUAAAGUCUGCGCAUGUUUAAUAAACACACAGGGGCUACUUUCAAGCACAGGGCUCUGAAAAGUGACAACACAAUUCAAGAUGCGGCUGCACAUGAUAUGUACAAUAGUAAAGUCAGUGGUUUGGCCACGCUGACCCCCCCCCCCCCCCAAUACAUCUGUUUGCAUGCCUGGGUCUAUCAAAAAGCUUUUGAUUACUUUUUUCUGGGUUGUCUCAAGAUAUAACAUACCAAAGGUCAUGCAAAUUGGACAAAUGCUCCAGGUGAAAAAUUUACAUUCACAAAUAUAAAUAACACAGAGGAAAAAUAAAGAUAUAAUUAAGUGCAAAAAUCCCUGACUGCUGUAAAAGAAUCUAAAUGAUUUUGAUCCUUUUUAUCUCUCCAACACAAUAUUUCAAUCAACUGUGCACUUGCAAUACUGUUUUUGUUUUGCGCUUUACGUUUCUGCGCGUGUAGCUUUGUGAGACUGUCUUGACUUGUUGGCGGAGUCAAAGUAUUGGGGUCUAAAAAACAGGGCUGGCUCCCUUGACAUUGCAUCAUCAGCUGACUGUCGCAGACUGCAUUAGAGGAUGUUCAAGAUACAUGAACACAGGCUGGAUCUCCGGAGCAAUGAAGCAUCUGCAUGUGAAAGCGACAGAGGGCACACUUAGCUUGGCUUCAGAGUUUGAACUGGAAGAAAUUAAAUUAAACAUUCAAGGCUCAAUUGACACAGAUUGUCCUGCUUAAAAACUUUAUACUAAACGAUGUUGUGCUCUAGUUUAAAAAUAUGACACCACUGUAUUAUGUUAUUGAGAAGAUGAAAAGGUAUUGUCUUGUCAUGUUCAUGUUUUUUAUUUUGAAGUUCUAAGUUCUCAUGUUCAUGACUUUUAUUUUGAAAUUAUGUCUUGCCAUGUUGUCUAUUGUUUUCCUGUUCCCUAUGUGUCAUGUUCUCAUUGGUUUACUGUCUGUAUAUAUAGCCCUCAUGUUUCCAUUGUCCCUUGUUGGUUAUUGAAUGUAGUUGCUGUGUUUGUAUUGUUUCAUGUUCAUGCUCACGUUUAUGGAUAACAUCAUGUCAAGGAUUUCAUGGUUUAUGUUUGGAUCACUUUAAAUUUUUCUAUCUGCACUAAGAUCCAGUCUCAUCUCAUGUUUGGACAGCACAUUCCAGAUGAUCAAGGACUGUUUGUGUUUUGUGAUAGUUGUGAUCACACUGAUAGAAGGGUGGCCAUACUGAAGAUGUUAAAAUAAAACUUUUUAUUUAUUUACACAACUUAUAGUCUCUUUCUUUUUUGUGAGAAGAUUUGAAAAGCCUAAAUCCUUGAAUUUUAAUAAUAAUUCAAUGUGAAGCACACUAUUUCAAAUUUGGCUUACAAUCACUAGACUGACCUGGGCAGCAUACUGUACCUCCCAUUCACACCUGACCCAAAUGUCUGCCAUAAUGGAUCUAUUAUGAGUUUAGACUCUGUUUAAGUAUUAUUAUUAUUUACAGCAUCUACAAUAUUGUCAUAUUGUUAGAUUUUUUUUAAUAGUUCACAAAUGUAUGGGGAUCACUAUCAACCCACUGUGCCAGUUUAUGUUGUCUACCCAAAAUUAUUUGAUUCCCUCUAUGUAUCUCUAACAUUACCAGCUGUAAAUUUUUCCUUCACCUUCUUCUUGUAAUCUAGUUGCAUCUCCUUUAGCUUGCAUUUAACUUCUUUAUUUAGCUCUUUUACCUUAUCUCUCAAUUUCUUUUAAAAAGCUACUUUUUUCCCAAUUGGUGCUGCCAAAACAGAUACUUUGAGAUUAUCUAUUAACCCCUUAUUCCAUGACUGCACCUGCUGAACAACCGGUUUAAUCCUUUUUAACAUCUUUCCAUAACAAUAUGAUCCAAGCACCCUAGUGGUGGAUGUGACCUUGGUACAUAAGCACCAUCCACAUUAGCGUAACAUUGUCUAGUUUAUUCAGCCUUGUUCGGCAAGUUACAUUCUUUUCUAAGUUUGGCAGAAGCACAGAUAACUCACAGUUGUUAAAGUCUCUGAGGAGAAUCACUGGGUCACCUGCUGAGUUGCGCAACACCCUGUUAUAACUUGCAGCAAUGCCCUUGGCUGCAAAUUAAAAUUUUGGCCCAGAAACAAAAGUUAUUUGUCCAAACCCUUGAUGCAAGUAAUGUGAUCUAAAUAAAAAAAAAACAUAAGUUUCUUCCUUUUCCUCUUCACACAUAGUGUUUGUAAGAAACAAAUGAUUUCGAGAGUAACAGAUAAUUUCAUAUAAAGGACUUGAUGAAUCCUUCAUAUUGUAUCAGAUAGUAAAUCCUUGCGGCUUUAGGUCAUCUUGCUCACAUGUCCGUUGUUGCCAGAGCUUCCCAACUCUGCUUCAACUCUGGACUCACAUCUACAAUUGUAUUUUUUAAACCGAUUUUUUUAAACACUUCCCAUGAUGUUCAUCUGAUUUUCACAAGAGAACGUGAAAGCGAUGUAAUCACCAAUGUAUGGGUAACCCAUACUUGGAAUGUGACCUAUGCAUUUAACCCAUCUAGUGAGGAGUAGACACACCCACUGCAAGUUGUGAACACACACAAAGCAGUGGGCAGUUAUUACUGCAGUGCCCAGUUAACAAUGGGGUGACUUGCUAAAGGGGAAGUCUGUAGUGUGAUAGCCAUAGUAACUUAUGCUACAUGACUAACCUGCUCCGGGGCAGGUUAUUUUCUGGGUCAGAGAUCACACAAUGAAAUUCAUCCAUUUAGCUGUGAACAAAGUGACAUUUCAGUCACAGUUUGCGUUGCAAUGUUUUUUUUCUCACUUUGUGUACAUUUAUGCGCAACAUAUUAGGAAAAUUACACAUUGUUUUGUUACAGUAAAUGUAUAGUAAGCAUGAUCUUUCGUGAAUUGAUUACCACAACGUGUUACAAUAUGUUUACUAGAAAAUGUAGGGCCGUGCUACCUAUAGGCAGAGUAGGCAAUUGACUAGGAUCCUUACAUCCCUGUACGCUAGCGGCUAGACCACCAACCACGCUGACAGCAAUACACUAAGUUCUCACAAUAGACUAAUGUGCUAAUGUGGUUCAGAUGUACUAAAGCCAAUCAAUAUCACUCUUUCAAAAGGAGCCUCCUCUCUGGAUGUAAGAGAUAGAUCAUAAGUCUUUCACCUACAGUACUAACCUUUCUGGGGCAUAGGCUGCCGACAAGGGUCAUUCAAGCAUCUCUGUCUUAUGUCAGUCUCUCAAACUGCCCCCAGGUGUAGCCCUCCCUCGCGCAGUCUGCAUCCAGGUUGUGGUGCCAGGUGUUACUCUGGAUGUAAGAGAUAGAUCAUAAGUCUUUCACCUACAGCACUACCCUUUCUGGGGCAUAGGCUGCCGACAAGGGUCAUUCAAGCAUCUCUGUCUUAUGUCAGUCUCUCAAACUGCCCCCAGGUGUAGCCCUCCCUCGCGCAGUCUGCAUCCAGGUUGUGGCGUCAGGUGUUACAUUUACAUUAAGUCAUUUAGCAGGUGCUUUUGUCCAAAGUGACUUACAAAUGAGGUAAACAAUAGAAGCAAUUAGAGCAACACAAGAACUGCAAUACAUAGGUGCACUUGAACAAGUCUAACACACUAUACAUAGUCAAGGGUUAGUUAUAUUUGUUUUUUUACAGAAAAUGUACAGAUAAAGAUAAUAAUAAUUUACAGCACUUAAAGCGCUUUACAUAUGAAAGAGGGAUUCUCUUCAACCACCACCAAUGUGCAGCAUCCACCGGAUGAUGUGACGGCAGCCAUAUUGCGCCAGAACACUCACCACACACCAGCUUAUUAGUGGAGAGGAGACAGAGUGAUAUAGUCAAUUAGUAUGAGGGGAUGAUUAGUAGGCCAACAGGUAUGUUUGGCCAGGAUACACCCCAACUUUUUUUUGAAGGACAUUCUGGGAUUUUUAACAACCACAGAGAGUCAGGACCUCAGUGUAACAUCUCAUCCAAAGGACGGUGCUUUUUGUGACAGUAUUGUGUCCCCUUCACUAUACACAUAUUAUAGUGGUGUAUACACAUAAAUACACCGAGGCGGUGACAUUAAUAUGCUCCUACAUAGACGAGAGUUAUUUUGGAUUUUUACUCUGCAAACAUUAUCGCUUUUAAAUAGGGAUGGGAAUCGAGAACCGGUUCUUCUUAAGAACCGGUGCCCAGUGAAUCGAUUCCUUUGAACCGUUAGCAUGCCUGCUUAACGAUUCCGCUUAUCGGUUCCGCUUGUUGCAAAUGUGUCAUGACGUCACACACACGCUGUGUUGUUUUGGUUUAGAACGCAGCAAACAUUGCAUCGAGGCAGAACGAUCCAAAGUUUGGUUAUAAUUAGUGGUGGGCAGAGCGAGGCUUCGUGAAACACUGAAACAGUUGAUUCAAUAACUUGUAUUUUCGCAAAAAUACGACAAUACGGUCGCGUUGCAGGAGGUUGCAGGACUGUCGCGUGUUUGAUACACUACUAGUGAGUCAAGCACCAGCGGAGCUAACGGGACGCCAUCUGUUAUUAAUGCCGAAGGUAAUGUGUUAAUGUUAAUGUGAGCGCCAUUUCAUUGUGUAAACUUUUACUAUACGGAUAAUCUUCGUUGUCAUUGUCCAUCAAAUUUAGUCUGGCUGGCUCUAAGGGGCUGUCCACACGGAGACGCGUAUCACUGUAUACGUAUAAAUUUGUUAUCGUAUUGGCAUUUCAUCCACACGGAUCCGGCGUUUUGGGAGACUGAAUCCACUAUUUUUUGAAACCGGGUCCUAAAGUGGAUAAAUCUGAAACCGACACCCUUGCGGUUUCGUCUGUACAGCCAAUCCGUAUAUUUUGUGAAGCGAAAACGUCAUCACAUCAUGUGUCGGAAGCGUCACACGUAACAGCAACAACAAUAACGGCGGACUACGUGAUUGUGUUCGUGCUACAGAAGCUACUAAAGCCUACUAGCUUUAUUACAGCAAAAUCUAUUGCUUCUAUGCAAUUGUGGUGACCAACAAGCGAUAAUGGACAACACCAUACGUUGGUUAUGCGCAUGCUCAAAGUCUUCUUCUCCGUGUAUAGUGUAUAUCUGUGGCAGAAUUACAGCGCCACAUACUGGUCCGGCAUAUAUACUACACCGCUUUCAGUCGGUUUCGUGUUUACGGAUUAUUUUUUUAAAGCAAGGAAAAAAAAUGAUCGGAUAGGGAAUGCACCGGCUUCGUGUGGACAUAGCCUAACACUGGCUCAGAGGCUGCAGAAAGUAUCUUGUGCACCUCUAGCUACUCCGUUUACAGAGGCAGGGAGGAAUAAAAUGACAGAGGCGAGGAUAAACAAAUUUCACCAAGCAGUAGAGGCGGACACUACUUUAGUAUUUCUACUAAAAAGUACAUUUUCAAGUAUUUGUAUUUUAUCAGUGUUUUUUUAUUUUUUGAAAACAUACAUUCCAAAGCAUAUUAUCAUGAUUUUAACUCCACUACAUUUCAUUAUUUCAAGUUUUUGGUUUAUAUUUAAUAUUUAAGUACAUUAAAAAUCUAGUAAUGUUUUUUUUUACUUUUACUUAAGUAAAAAGUACUUUUACACAAUUUUUAUGUAAUUAUGUAUUAAAUAAAUUUUUAUGUGCAAUAUUAAAGGAAUACACAGUAUGAUUCUAUGCUUUAGAAUGUAGUGAACAUUUUUAGUAAAGUAAUUUUUUCCCAAGACAACACUCUGAUAAAGCACAGAUGCUUGGAAAGUGAAACUUAAAUACUGAAGUAGUGUCCACCUCUGCCGAGCAGUGACUAAGUUUAUGGUAAAGGGUUUGCAUCUGUUUGGCACAUAGAUGCCUAUGCAUUUCAGUAGGUUAAUUUGCUGUAUUUGUUGUAUUUUGUCCAGCAUCAUGUCUUUUCAAAAGAAAAUAACAAAUGCAUGCAUGACCAAAAGUUGCAUAUUUUAUGUCAGUCUAGUUCUGUUUUAUUUAUUCCUAGUCCUAUCACAUAUUUACUGGUUGAUAAACACUGCCCUAGGCUAUAAGUCCCUGGACUUUACUUUAAGUAGAUCGCCUACUUUUAAUUUUGUUCUGAGGUUGCUACACAUAAUUUGUGUAUACUCUGUUCUGUGUCUUCUGAACAUAUAUUAAAGCGAGUUAAUACAAACAUUCAAAUUUGUACUUAUUCCCUCACCCAAUGAGAAUCAAUAAGGAAUCGGAUCGAUAAGCAACAUCGAUAAUGGAAUCGGAAUCGUUAAAUUCUUAUCAAUUCCCAUCCCUACUCUUUAAUGACGAAGCCCUAUUUAAUGUGAUGUUAUAAUAUGUCAAUUGUUGCUUUUAAUUGUGGAUGUAAUUGUGCUUUGUGUCACUGAUCACUCAUUCAGUAUUUACUAUGUCUGACGCUUUCUCAUUGUCGUCAUAGACUGUUUUUUUUUCUUGUGUUGUAUAAUAUUGAGGUUGUUAAUAUGUGACAAAAAAAAUUGUGUAUUCAAAUGUGAUUGGUCAUUGAAGGUCCGACACUGUGAUUGGCCUGUGAUUAUUGUUACAUGUGAUUGGUCAAUGGACUGUUUUUAAAUAAAUCCAUGUAUGUAUGCCUGAUGAAGAUCUUGUGAUCGAAACAUCGCUGUAAUAAAUAUUUUCAUCUUUUGCAAGCUAAUAGUGUGCGGGAUACCUUUCAUUAUCUAUGCAUGCUAUUUAAUUCGAAAUGGCGGACAGGAAGUAGGUUUGACAUUUUUGGUACCA